rnacentral:rRNA from 1 species
UAGGGAAUCUUCCACAAUGGGCGAAAGCCUGAUGGAGCAACGCCGCGUGUGUGAUGAAGGCUUUCGGGUCGUAAGCACUGUUGUAUGGGAAGAACAACUAGAAUAGGAAAUGAUUUUAGUUUGACGGUACCAUACCAGAAAGGGACGGCUAAAUACGUGCCAG